ACCAAAUCGAUCGGAAAAAUAGCGAAAUUUUGAAUUUUAAUUUUUUUACCGACCGAUCCGUCGGAAAUGCUAUUUAUAACCCUGCCCUGACCCCUAUAUUCUUUUUUCUUUCUCUUCUAUUACACUAUUUGGUCACCUCGCCAAUCGUCGUCGCCCACCUUUACUCAAAUUUCUGACGGUAUACCACUCUCUAUCUCACUUUCUCCCUCCCUCCCUCUCUCACUCAUCCCUUUCGCGGCCAGAUUCUUUAACCCUUUUUCAAUUAAUUUUUUUCUUUUUCAGGCAGUGGAGUAAUUCGGCGGUGUGCAUCUUCUCCGGCGAGGUAAGUUCUUCCUUCAUUCCUUCUCCAGCCUUGAAUGUUACUAUAUUUUUUCUUUUUGUUUGUAUUGUAAUUAAAAUUAGUAUUUUUUUUUAGUUUGAAUAUUGAUAAGAUUAGAAUUGAAAUUAGGGUUGAAAUGAAAGAAUAAGUUAUUCUUUAACCUUGAAUAACUAUGGUUCAGAGCCUUGAGUAACAUGAAAAUUAAGCUUCCUUUGGAUAAAAAAAUUAGAAGUGAAUGAAAUUUGAGAUAGAUUUUUUUUCAAUAGGAGAAAUCUUCAAUUUGUAUUGUAAUUUAUAUAUAUUCUGGAAUUAGAAAUAAAACUAUUCAAUCUUGACUUUAUUUUCACAUUGUAAUUUACAUAUGUUAUUAAAUUAGGAAUAAAUGUUGUUUGAAUUUUGUGUCUUGUGCUUUGAUUUUCUAUUUAAGUUGGGAUAGGAAACAAAGGAAAGAUUUGUGUGCAAGCUUAAAUACUUAACUUUUAAUCAAAAAAAGUAUAACUAUAGUUUAUAUUUUGCAACUAUCGUCCGAAGAUAUGACUUUAAUAUGGAGACAGGCAGCCGGUGGAGUAAAUAAAGGUAUAUCUUUUUUAGUAAUAUUAUUUUGCACAAGUUGUAUGUUUCUUCUCUUGCUCAUUUUACUUUUUUUUGAUUCUCAUGAAAAUAAAUAAAGAUAGAGUCAAACUUGAAGUACAACCAUUGUCCAGUUGUCCAACUGCAUUACUCAGUGGUGCUUCUGCUUCACCUGAAGAAAUUGAGACUAUGCAGACAUAAAUCAAUGAAUUAACACAACAAUGAAACAUUACUCAAGAAAUAAUAAGUAUGAUGCG
rnacentral:lncRNA from 1 species